UUUUUUUUUAAUUUUUUAAGUAGGCUCCAUGCCCAACAUGGGGCUUGAACUCAUGACUGAGAUCAGGAGUUGCAUGCUUUACCAUCUGAGCCAGCCAUGUCUCCCAUAAUGAGUUUUCUGGUGGUGCUCAAAGAAUUGUACUUUAGAUAAUAACUGACAAAUACAUUUUAUAUAUUAGAUAAUUUCAUAUUAAGUAAGUCCGUACUUUGAUAUAUAUUAUCUUGGAGCAUGACUGAAUUCAUUGGUAGAGUUUACUUUAAGACUGAAGCAAUUUUACAAUGUAGUCUGAACUGGCUUGAAACUUUCAGCAGACCCCUCCCAUAUGACAGCCUAGAUGCUUUGUCAAAGGUUCCUGUCCUCUGCUUUGUCUUGGAUCAUAUCUCUCAGCUCUAUCUUUAUCUUGCUUUUGGUCUUGCCCGACUUCUAUACAGAUUCUUCAACUCAAAGCUACAUUCUUAAACUUCUCUCUUGUCUGGAUGUUUUAACAGUUCCCUGCUUCUCCAUUCUGUUCUCUUUGAGACAUGGUCCUUUAAAACUUCAACUCAGACCAAGCCCAUGUAGAGAUUUCCUCAGGCUCUGGGUUUUCUUGGACUUUCACUUGUCCCAGGUGUCCAGGGCUCCUACCUGGCAUAGCACUUCCAAUAAGCCAAUAAGGCACUUGUAUUCUUUUAUUGGCCUUCUUUCCUUUGCCUCUUUCAGCUUGUUCUCCAAGAAGAGACUCCAUGGCCAGUUAAGUUGCCUGGGCCAGCUCCCCAUCUUGAUAUUUGGCACCCUCCAGUGGCCAUGGAUGGGUGUGCUUUGGCCAGCAGUGAAUUUUGGAGCUAAGUCCUCUGGAGCAUCCCCAGGCUGGUUAGUGCCCACCAGUGACAGUUAAAAGGAGCUGCUAUCAGAAUCAGCUAUCAGAUCUGGGCAAGCUUUACCCCUGCCUGGUUCCUUGCAAUUCACCUCCUGCAACUUGCUGAUAGAUAAACUCAACAAAGUCCCUCCCUUCCUUUUUCCUAUAAAUGUAUCUGUAUCAACAUACUAAAAUCUACACUCUCAAAGGAAAAACCUUUUCUGGUUUUGCACUUGGCAGGGAAGUAAUAAUAAGUACUAACUUAAAUGAGUGUCAAAUGCUGAGCUAAUGCUUCAACCCAUUAUCAUAUUCAAUCUUCACAAUGCUGGGAGAUAGUCACCUAUCUUUAAUCUCCAUUUUAUAGAGGAAGAAAUAGAGGCUUAGAUUGGUUACAUAAAAGUCAAGGGUAAACCUAAAGGUCAAGAUCUCCUUGCUAGUUGAUGGCAAGUUUGAAUUCAAAACCAGCCUGUGGCCCAUACUUCCUAAUCACUAGGCCAUACAGUCUCUGUAGAAAAUUGGGAUG
rnacentral:lncRNA from 1 species